GUUUCAGGGCGAGGCGCAAUUCCUCACCGGCGGUGAUGGACGGAAUUUUCCGUCACAAGUCCGCGAGCUUUCACCAGCAUGAUCGGGUGUGAAUCCCGAACCGACGGUACAGUCCGGAUGAAAGAAA
rnacentral:ncRNA from 1 species